AUUCAAAAGCAAAAAUUCAAGUUUUAAAAAUUCAAUUAAAAUAAAUUCAGGUUGCUCAAAUUCGACCUGUCAAAUUCGACUGCUAAAAUACAACGCUCAAAAUUCGCUGUAAACAUCCGGGACACACAGGAUGAGCAAUCGAUUCAGUCUUCAAUCGAGCCAACAACCAGCCAAUCACAUCACGCUCCGAAGAUCACGUGACAGGUAGCGCCUCAGUACAUCAGAGCCGCUCAACGCAGCUCGCAGCCCCCUCCGCUGCUGCUCUCGAGAAGGUUGAAAAGAAGAUGAAGUUUCAGCUUGCAGCUAUGGAGAGUUCACCACGAAAAGAACGAAGUCAAAGAAUACAAAGAUCUGUCCAUAUUCUGAAGUCACCACUUGAAGAUUUUAUGCAGAAUUAUUUGGAUUAUGAAUAGGAACCACAUUAUUUGCAACAGCUUUUAUUAUUUAUACAAACAAGUUGAACAUGAUAUGAUGUGCCAGAAUAUAGGGAGGCUGCCUAAAACAUACAAAAAAAAAUACAGAACACAUGUAAACAACUAAAGAAAAACAGAACAUGGCACAUGUAAAUAAAUCAAAUAAACACAGCACAGACUGCAUGAAA